AAGGAUCAUUACCUAGAGUUGUAGGCUUUGCCUACCAUCUCUUACCCAUGUCUUUUGAGUACCUUCGUUUCCUCGGCGGGUCCGCCCGCCGAUUGGACAAACUUAAACCCUUUGUAAUUGAAAUCAGCGUCUGAAAAAACAUAAUAGUUACAACUUUCAACAACGGAUCUCUUGGUUCUGGCAUCGAUGAAGAACGCAGCGAAAUGCGAUAAGUAGUGUGAAUUGCAGAAUUCAGUGAAUCAUCGAAUCUUUGAACGCACAUUGCGCCCCUUGGUAUUCCAUGGGGCAUGCCUGUUCGAGCGUCAUUUGUACCUUCAAGCUCUGCUUGGUGUUGGGUGUUUGUCUCGCCUUUGCGUGUAGACUCGCCUUAAAACAAUUGGCAGCCGGCGCAUUGAUUUCGGAGCGCAGUACAUCUCGCGCUUUGCACUCAUAACGACGACGUCCAAAAAGUACAUUUUACACUCUUGACCUCGGAUCAGGUAGGGAUACCCGCUGAACUUAAGCAUAUCAAUAAGCGGAGGAAAAGAAACCAACAGGGAUUGCCCUAGUAACGGCGAGUGAAGCGGCAACAGCUCAAAUUUGAAAUCUGGCGUCUUUGGCGUCCGAGUUGUAAUUUGCAGAGGGCGCUUUGGCAUUGGCAGCGGUCCAAGUUCCUUGGAACAGGACGUCACAGAGGGUGAGAAUCCCGUACGUGGUCGCUAGCCUUUACCGUGUAAAGCCCCUUCGACGAGUCGAGUUGUUUGGGAAUGCAGCUCUAAAUGGGAGGUAAAUUUCUUCUAAAGCUAAAUACUGGCCAGAGACCGAUAGCGCACAAGUAGAGUGAUCGAAAGAUGAAAAGCACUUUGGAAAGAGAGUUAAAAAGCACGUGAAAUUGUUGAAAGGGAAGCGCUUGCAGCCAGACUUGCCUGUAGUUGCUCAUCCGGGUUUUUACCCGGUGCACUCUUCUAUAGGCAGGCCAGCAUCAGUUUGGGCGGUUGGAUAAAGGUCUCUGUCACGUACCUCCUCUCGGGGAGAACUUAUAGGGGAGACGUAAUGCAACCAGCCUGGACUGAGGUCCGCGCAUCUGCUAGGAUGCUGGCGUAAUGGCUGUAAGCGGCC
rnacentral:rRNA from 1 species